GGUCAGCAUCCCAUAUGGGCGCCAGUUUGAGUCCCGGCUGCUCCACUUCUGACCAGUUCCCUGCUAACGCACCUGGAAAGCAGCAGAGGAUGGCUUACGUCCUUGGGUCCCUACACCCAAGUGGGAGACCUGGAAGAAGCUCCUAGCCCCUGGCUUCAGAUUGGCCCAGCUCCAGCUGUUGCGGCCAUUUGGGAAGUGAACCAGCAGAUGGAAGACCUUUCUCUCUGUGUCUACAUCUCUCCCUAACUCCAUGUUUAAAAUAAAAUCUUAAAAAAAUUUUUUUUUAUUCCUCAUCCGGCAGCCCCGCGGAGUAAGUUUUCAGUGCCCUUGGGUAACUUGGGCAGACAGCAGGUGAGCCAACCUGGGACUCUGUGGAGGAGGGACAUUAUGAUGCCCCUGGAGAGGACAAAGGCCCACCUGGUAUGACCCACACUCCCUCAGCCCACAUGAGGCACUGCACUGCCUGGACAAGACAGCACCCAGACCAGGGAGCCCUCCUGGACACUGGGCCACCGGCUCAGGCGCAGCCCGGGAGCACCACCUCGGCCAUGGGUCUUGGGGCACAAUCAUCUCGCAGGACCAGAGUCCAGCUCAGAGCACUUCCUCGUUGACCAGGCACAAGGGGGCACCUGGUGUCUCAUGGCUGGGAUCCUCACACCAGCCACAAGCGGCGGGUGCCCCCCAGUUUUCUCCCAGCCAGAUUCACAGCCCAGCACAGCAGCUUCCAAGGCCCUGCCCUCCUCAGCAGUGCUACCCACAGCCAGCCAGACCCCCGGGCAGGCCAGUGGUGGUGGUAAAAUGUUCUCUGAGAAACAGAGACGGGGGAGAGCUCCCACCCUUGGGUUUACUCUCCACAAUGGAAGGGGCUGGGCUGGACCAAAGCCAGGAGCCCAGAGCUCAAUCCAAGUCUCCCUCAGCUACUUGGAGCCACAUCACUUGCUUCCUCCUAGGGUAUGCGUUAACGCGAGGCUGGAGUCAGAAGCCAGAGCCAGGUAUUGAACCCAAGAAGUUCAUUAUGGGAUAUAGGCGUCCCAAGUGGCAUCUUAACCAUCAGGCCCAAUGCAAGCUCUGUCUUUGUUUUAGUAACUUAAUUUAUUCCUGGUUUUAUCAUCACACUCUAGCUGUGGAGAUUCAGACUUAGCAGGAUCUGGGGUAAGGCCUAGAUGAUUCUUUUUUCUUUAAAUUUCACUUGAGAGGAAGUGAGGGAAGGAGAGGAAAAGAGAGAGAGGUCACUCCUAUCCACCAAUUUACUCCUCAAAUUCCCAAAUGGCCGAGACUGGGCUAGGCUGACGCCAAGAGCCAGAAACUCAAUCCAGAUCUCCCAACAUGAGUGGCAGAGACCCGACUACUUGAGCCGUCACUGCCACCUCUCAGGGUCUGCGUUAGCAGAAGAUGGAAUUGGGAGUGGAGACAAGACUUGAACCCAGCCAGGGCGAGGCCAGGCUGAAGCCAGGAGUCUAGAACUGCAUCUGGGUCUCCCAUGCGCCCGGGGGAGCCUGAGAGCCGGCCAAUGGGACCUUCCUACGGGAAAGGAGGCAACCUGCACACCCAGGAGCAGUGACACUGCCCCUCACCUCCACCCAGCGCUUCAGGAUCAAGCCCCCCUAUCCAUUUCCCAUUGCCACUGUGAAGAAGUAUACAAGCUCCAUAGGUUAAAGAAGACAAAUUUAAUAUCCCAUCACCUGCAGGCAAGAGCUCCACAGUGGGCCUCAGGGCGCUGGCACCAGGCGAUGGACUGGGCUGUGUCCCUUCCAGAUGCCCCGGGGGAGGAACACCCAUUUCCUGGUCCUCUCCCAGCCUCAGAAGCUGCCUGCAUCCCUCAGCUGGCGGCCCCUGCAUCCCUCAGCUGGCGGCCCCGCCUCCAUCUAAAAGCCAGCAGCACAGUGUGGGUCUCUCUUCCUGGCACCUCCUGCCUUCCUCUUCCAUCUCAGAAGGACCUGGGAGGACCCUGGACUCACCCUGCUAACCUCCAGGUCUUUAACUUAAUCGCACCUGCAAAGGAGCACAUUCCCUGGUGUGGGGAUUAGACGGGGGCCAUCUCAGGGAGCCGGGAAGUGGGUCAAGGGUCUGUGGGUGGCGUCGCCGCCCGCCCUCAGCACAGCGACCCUGGGCAGCUGGCCCCAUCUCCUCAGCCUUGGUUUCCCCUUGUGGAAUGGUGAUUAUGAUACUGUUGGGAGAGAAAUGGUAACUCCCAGGUAGCAGCUUGCCAUUACUCUUUGGUGCCCCAGACCGCGGCAGGGCUCGGAGGAGAUGGGGAAGUCCUUGGAACUGGACAGCAGGGGGUCGCUUGCCCUUCCAGCCUCCAUCCCGAGCCCUCAGGGAGGAGGCUGGGCAGAGUGGGAACAAUCAUGGGGUGGGGCCACGGGGUCAUAGUGGGGGCCUCCUUUAAAUAGAGCCCGAGCCCCGGGGGGAGCCCUGCAACAUUAACAGCAACAGCAGGUGUGCAGGCCUCAGCCCUCCCCCAUCCCCCCCACCCCUAGGCAGCCGCAGCCGAGCUCGGCCCAAGCCGCCU